rfam:Gossypium arboreum cultivar AKA8401 contig_4293_3, whole genome shotgun sequence.
UGUUAAAAAAUUUAUCCAUUUAUGUGGUUAAAAAUUGACAUAAUUAACAAAAUAAUCAAAAAGUGACAUGUUGCAUGCCACAUGUACCUCAUGCUAAUAUACAUGAACAAUUUCCAACUAUAGAAAUGGAUGACAAUUUUAACA